rnacentral:rRNA from 1 species
UACGGGGGGGGCAAGCGUUGUUCGGAAUUACUGGGCGUAAAGGGCUCGUAGGUGGCCAACUAAGUCAUACGUGAAAUCCCUCGGCUUAACCGGGGAACUGCGUCUGAUACUGGAUGGCUUGAGGUUGGGAGAGGGAUGCGGAAUUCCAGGUGUAGCGGUGAAAUGCGUAGAUAUCUGGAGGAACACCGGUGGCGAAGGCGGCAUCCUGGACCAAUACUGACGAUCAGGUGCGAAAGCGUGGGGAGCAAACAGG